CUUUCAAGUGCAAAACAUGAGAGGCCAAGGGUAUGAUGGUGCUAAUAAUAUGCGUGGUUCUUGGAAUGGACUACAAGCAGUAUUGCUUAAAGAUUGUCCAUAUGCAUACUAUGUUAAUUGUUUUGCCCAUCGUUUACAAUUCACAUUAGUUUCUGCAGCUAAGGAUGUCUCAGUUAUUAAUUCAUUUUUUUCUUAUUUGGACAAUAUUAUUAAUAUGAUUACAUCAUCUCUUUAGCGCAUCAAUGAGUUGAAAAGUACCCAAAGAAAAGAAAUUGUGCAUUUGUUAGAAAUUGGAGAACAAGAGUUCGGAAGUGGUGCUAACCAGAAUGGUAAUUUGCAAUGAGCAGGAAGUACUCGUUGGUCUUCUCAUUACAGCUGUGUAAAGAGUUUGAUUGAUAUGUAUGCUGCAACUUGCAAGGUGCUUGAGUAUCUUAGUGAUCAUUCUACAAGUACAAGAUCUCGGUCCGAAGUUGGUGGUGUUUUCAAAAUCAUAACAACAUUUGAAUUUGUAUUUAUCUUGCAUUUAAUGCGUAGAAUAUUAGCAAUUGCGGAUGUUCUUUGUCAGUCCCUUCAAAAAAAAACUCAAGACAUCUUAACUACUAUGAGAUUUGUCUGUACUACAAAAACUAUCCUUCAAGCAUUAAGAGAAGAUGGCUGGGAAGAAUUUCUUGAAGAGGUG
rnacentral:lncRNA from 1 species